GGAGGAAUUCAAGACCAGCCUGGCCAACAUGGUGAAACUUCGUCUCUGCUAAAAAUACAAAAUUUAGCCAGGCCUGGUGGUGGGUGCCUGUAAUCUCAACUACUCGGAAGACUGAGGCAAGAGAAUUGCUGGAACCUGGGAGGUAGAAGUUGCAGUGAGCUGAGAUCAUGCCAUUGCACUCCAGCCUGGGUGACAGCAACAAGACUCCAACUCAAAAAAACAAACAACAACAAAAGUAGCUGGGCAUGGUGGGGUGUGCCUGUAAUCCCAGCUACUCAGGAGGCUGAGGCAGGAGAAUCACUUGAACUUGGGAGGCAGAGGUUGCAGUGAGCCUAGAUUGUGCCAGUGCACUCCAGCCUCGGCAACAGAGUGAAACUCUGUCUCAAAAAAAUAAAAUAGGGUCUCCUUGAACUCUCCUGCAGCUGUCGGGAUUCCUGUGGCUUUCUUCAUUGUCGGGGCCAGGCCUACGCGCCAGCAACCAUGUCGAAGGGACCUGCCAUUGGUAUUGAUAUUGGCACCAUCUACUCUUGUGUGGGUGUUUUCCAGUACUGAAAAGUAGAAAUAAUUGCCAAUGAUCAAGGAAACUGAACCACUCCAAGCUAUGUCGCCUUUACUGACAUCAAACGAUUGAUUGGUGAUGCCACAAAGAAUCAAGUUGCAAUGAACCCCACCAUCACGGUUUUUGAUGCCAAACGUCUGAUUGGGCGCAGAUUUGAUGAUGCUGUUGUCCAGUCUGAUAUGAAGCACUGGCCCUUCAUGGUGGUGAAUGAUACUGGCAGGCCCAAGGUCCAAGUAGAAUAUAAGGAAGAGACUUCUAUCCAGAGGAGGUAUCCUCUGUGGUUCUGACAAAGAUGAAGGAAAUUGCAGAAGCCUCGCUUGGGAAGACUGUUACCAUGCCUGCUACCAGUGCCGUGGUCACGGUGCCCGCUACCAAUGCCGUGGUCACAGUGCCAGCUACCAAAGACGCUGGAACUAUUGCUGGUCUCAAUGUACUUAGAAUUAUUAAUGAGCCAACUGCUGCUGCUGUUGCUUUCGGCUUAGACAAAAAGCUUGGAGCAGAAAGAAACGUGCUGAUCUUUGGCCUGGGAGGUGGCACUUUUGAUGUGUCAAUCCUCACUAUUGAGGAUGGAAUCUUUGAGGUCAAAUCUACAGCCAGAGACACCCACUUGGGUGAAGAUUUUGAUAAGCAAAUGGUCAACCACUUUAUUGCUGAGUUCAAGCACAAACAGAAGAACGUCCUCAGUGAGAACAAGAGACCUGCAAGACGCCUCCGUACUGCUUGUGAGCAUGCUAAGCGUACUCUCUCUUCCAGCACCCAGGCCAGUAUUGAGACUGAUUCUCUCUAUGAAGGAAUCAACUUCUAUACCUCCAUUACCCGUGCCCAUUUUGAAGAAUUGAAUGCUGACCUGUUCCAUGGCACCCUGGCCCCCGUAGAGAAGCCAAACUAGACAAGUCACAGAUUCAUGAUAUUGUCCUGGUUGGUGGUUCUAUCACAUCCCCAAGAUUCAGAAGCUUCUCCAAGACUUCUUCAGUGGAAAAUAACUGAAUAAGAGCAUCAGCCCUGAUGAAGCUGUUGCUUAUGGUGCAGCUGUCCAGGCCACCAUCCUGUCUGGAGACAAGUCUGAAAAUGUUCAAGAUUGGCUGCUCUUGGAUGUCACUCCUCUUUCCCUUAGUAUUGAAACUGCUGGUGGAGUCAUGACCUUCCUCAUCAAGCGUAAUACUACCAUUCCCACCAAGCAGACACAGACCUUCACUACCUAUUCUGACAACCAGCCUGGUGUGCUUAUUCAGGUUUAUGAAGGUGAGCGUGCCAUGACCAAGGAUAACAACCUGCUUGGCAAGUUUGAACUCACAGGCAUAUUGCCUGCAUCCCAAGGUGUUCCUCAGACUGAAGUCACUUUUGACACUGUUACCAAUGGCAUCCUCAGUAUGUCUGCUGUGGACAAGAGUACAGGAAAAGAGAACAAGAUACUAUCACUAAUGACAAGGGCUGUUUGAGCAAGGAAAACAUUGAACGCAUGGUCCAGGAAGCUGAGAAGUACAAAGCUGAAGAUGAGAAGCAGAGGGACAAAGUGUCAUCUAAGAAUUUGCUUGAGUCCUAUGCAUUCAACAUGAAAGCAGCUGUCGAAGAUGAGAAACUUCAAGGCAAGACUAACGAUGAGGACACACAGAAGAUUCUGCACAGAUGUAAUGAAAUUAUCAACUGGCUCGAUAAGAAUCAGACUGCUUAGAAGGAAGAAUUUGAAUAUCAACAGAAAGAGGAGGAGAGAGUCUUCAACCCCAUCAUCACCAAGCUGUGUACCAGAGUGCAGGGGGGCAAGCCAGGAGGGACGCUUGGGGCAUUCCCUGGUGGUGGAGCUCCUCCCUCUGGUGGUGGAGCUCCUCCCUCUGGUGGUGGAGCUCCUCCCUCUGGUGGUGGAGCUCCUGCCUCUGGUGGUGCUUCCUCAGGGCCCACCAUUGAAGAUACUGAUUAAGCCAACCCAAGUGUAGAUGUCGUAGCAUUGUUCCGCACAUGUAAAACAUUGAAGGAUCUAAAUUUGUAG